GAAUUUUCAUCGGACCAACUACAACUCUUUGCCGGUGACCAUAGACGUAGUCUUUCUUCACGGCUCAGUUCUCACCUACACAUACGAGCGGCCGCAGUGGGCAGAGCGCAGGCCACUCGCUCUCGCAUAAAGGAAAGGGCUCCUCGUCUCCUCUCCUCUUCUAUCCACGCCGCCUCCCAUGGAGAUCCUGGCGACCGCCGCCAGAAGUGACCGAACAGCCCCUCCUCCGCGCCCUCCUAUCGCCCCAAGGGCGUUCCACCCCCGCCCUCCUACCGCCCUAUCCCCAAGCGCGUCCCGGCCAAUGUAGGCGCAGGAGGGCGCCACCGCCACCGCCAACGGCAGACAGGGUGGAGCCAGGCAUUGUUUUCUACUACUAACGACGGGAGGAGGGGGAGGGGAUGGAACUGGAAGGGAGGAGGUUCGGCCCGCGAGGCUGGCUUGCGCACGUGCUUCCGUAUAUACGGCGUAUACAUACGGUUGGAGGAGGCGGCGGCGGCGUAUUGUACGGAUCUACGGCCGUUCCCGGCGCCGCUCGCCGUGUUCUUGAGUGAUUUUUGUAAGCUUCUUCUUUUCUUUUCUUUUCUUUUUCAUGUUCUGUUGUAAUUUGACGAGUGGAGGGCAUCUUUGCGCGGUCCUCCAAUGUUCGCAUCCUCUUGCAUUUCUUUUUCUUUUUCAGUUUUCGUGUUUAGAGAGGGCGGUAGGGGACAGAAAGGUGAGGGGGCUGUAUUCUAAUUUGGUGACUUCUUGUAUGGCUCCAAUGUGGUUAAAUUCUAAACCUUGUUCAGGCUGGGCCCUCAUUGAUUCUCAAGUUUCUUGCCAAUUUUGUAAAUUACCACUUUGCAUGAAGAGCUUGAUUGGUUUACUGUGGUCAACUUUGUGCAUUCCCGCAAUGGUUCUUGUGCAUACUCUGCUUGAAGUAAAGUGUUUCAAAACUAUAGUUUGAAUCGUUCACUCGUACCCUGCUGUGUCCUGAGGCUUAAAUAUGAUAAUAUGGUUUGGAUAAUUGCAAUCCCUUCUUGAAUUGGGUGUCAGUGUGAUGUUUGUGAUCCUUGUCUUGUUGCUCAUGCCUCUACGGUUGCUGUAGUGGAACUGUUGGUGCAGUGUGGUCUGGGAUACUGUCUAGAUUCUAGAGUGAAGUUUAGCGAUGCUUUCUUUCAUGGAGGCAUCGUCAGAUAUUCCGGUUGGUUUAAUACUUAUUUAGGUUUGUGGCAGUUUAUAUAAUUCUAGUGUAAUUUUGUUUAUUGGAAGUUCAAAUGCUCAACAGUUUUACAUGGUGAGAUUUACUGAUAUCUUUUACAUAUUUAGACAGGAAUGUUGCUAUUUAUAUGUUUAUUCUAGUUUCAUCAGUACCUAUUACAUUGGCUCUUAUGUCGCUAAAGUACUGUAGUAAAAUUGAGAGCCGUGGGGGAUACCUGGCUUCUCUUAGAUGGUUGUUUUUGUUUUCAGAGGUUUCAGUUGACUUUGGUUGAGUAAAUGGAGAGCAUGAAUGGGUUUGAGAUUUGUUUUAGUGAGUCAUGUUUGGGAUUCUUAAGAAACUUGGCUAUGUAUCCCCUUUUUAAUAUGUGAUUACGAUUCUUAGAUUCGUUGAAUGCUUGAAUGGAUUCUUGUGCAUAUUGUUCUAGUAGAUUUUUUGUGUCUCCAAAGCUCUAUUUUUUUUUCUUUUGGGAAGACUGUUUACGAGCUCAAAUUCUUGAUUGUACAUAUCACAAUUUUAACACUUCUUUUCUUAGAGCAAUUUUUCCAAAGUUGCAACUUUAUAACAUUCCCUUUGCUAUGAUUGCCAAUAUGCGAAUCUGAUGUUAUGUUUCUCCAGUUGCUCAAGAGCUCAAGUUGAUCCUUAUUCCUGAAUUAGUUCUUUCCACCUAUAUUUGCUACUUGGAGAUCGGUUGGGUGGGGAACAAUUGUUUCGUAUAGUUUUUCUUUUAUCUGAGAGAAUUUUGGGAUGCUUCCUUGAGCUGAAGGUUCUAGUGUACACUGACGCAUUCAGCACCCAAGGACAUCUCACUGGUUCCUAUCAGUUAACUUCUGAUCCAAGAAAUAGGCAAAUAAGAUUAGCUGCAGACCUAUACUAUGUGACGCAUGACUAGGUGGAAGCAUUGAAUAGUCUUUGAAAUUGUUAACCGUAAGCAGGAUUGGAUGUAGGCAGUAUUUUUUGACAGAAUCAACACGUUGCCAGUGAGUUUACAUGCUACUGAUUCAGAAAUAUGCUUUGGCUAUGGUACUGUGCUGAAACACCUUCAUGAACCAUGUUUUAUGGACAAAAUGGGAGCCGAUGCACGUUGUACUGUACCUUUAUGUACAUUUCAAAAAAAACUGUACCUUUAUGUAAAUGAUGAUGUGUCCUUCUGUUUCAAGUUCCAACCUGUAAAGAAUGUACACAACAUUCACUUGUUUUUUUUUUAUAGAAAAUAAGUCAUGUUCAUACAGUUUUUCAGUUACAGGUGCCCAUCUGCUUUCGCUCGCCAAUCAAUCAUUCAGCAUAAACAGAGGCGCACAGGAUGUUUUGUAGGCAUGACCUUGACUCCAGGC
rnacentral:lncRNA from 1 species